rnacentral:lncRNA from 10 species
CCCAGAGGUACAGAGGCGGAGGGGACAGGAAGCCACUGCUGGGCUGGACCUGGGCGUCCUCUAGCUCAUCCCAGUGUGGGGUUUUGAACUGUGUACUCUGUCAGCAAAGAGAAUUUGGAGAUAAACAGAAGAGGGGCUCCAAGGCAGUGGGAGAAGCUCAAGUGAACAUUUACUCAACAGCCUCCACCACCAGAAUCUUUCUCCGGGGCUGAAGACGUGUGGGGUGGCACAUAGCGUCACACAGGACAGACAGGCCCUGCGGAGGAGAUGCGGUACCGUGAGACGCGAGGGAGCACACGGACGUCAGGAGAAGCCUGUGGCUUCCCACUCCCCUUAGAAUAGUCCCCAGAGGCCACCCCUAGUUUGCGGGUGAGGAAACUGAGGCCCAGAGACCUGAGUCAGUGCGUGGCAUACAUUGAAGCAAAUUUGAAGAGGCUCAGCCUCGGUGGGUGGCUGCGUGCUGGUGGAAUGGGCUACUUCCUGCCAUGCUGUCCCUCUACUCCCAGGAUCCAAGGCAGACCGGAGACUGGCCAGUAGAUGCAGG